rnacentral:rRNA from 1 species
GAUGAACGCUGGCGGCGUGCCUAAUACAUGCAAGUCGAGCGGUAAGGUUCUCACAGAUUGUUUAACCAGAUUAAUCCGAAAGGAUAUUGUCUGCAGCGAUGGUUCCCCGGCUAGGGAAUCAGAGUUGAACAACGUGUGAGAAUACACGAGCGGCGGACGGCUGAGUAACGCGUAGGAACGUACCCCAAAGUGAGGGAUAAGCACCGGAAACGGUGUCUAAUACCGCAUGNGAUCUUCGGAUGAAAGUCUUUUAGACGCUUUGGGAGCGGCCUGCGUACGAUUAGGUUGUUGGUGAGGUAACGGCUCACCAAGCCGACGAUCGUUAGCUGGUCUGAGAGGAUGAUCAGCCAGACUGGGACUGAGAACGGCCCA